rnacentral:rRNA from 1 species
UACGAAGGGGACUAGCGUUGUUCGGAAUCACUGGGCGUAAAGCGCACGUAGGCGGAUUUGUAAGUCAGGGGUGAAAUCCCGGGGCUCAACCUCGGAACUGCCUUUGAUACUGCAAGUCUUGAGUCCGGAAGAGGUGAGUGGAAUUCCUAGUGUAGAGGUGAGAUUCGUAGAUAUUAGGAAGAACACCAGUGGCGAAGGCGGCUCACUGGUCCGGUACUGACGCUGAGGUGCGAAAGCGUGGGGAGCAAACAGG